rnacentral:rRNA from 1 species
UAAACGACUCUCGGCAACGGAUAUCUCGGCUCUCGCAUCGAUGAAGAAUGUAGCGAAAUGCGAUACUUGGUGUGAAUUGCAGAAUCCCGCGAACCUUCGAGUCUUUGAACGCAAGUUGCGCCCGAAGCCAUUAGGUUGAGGACACGCCUGCCUGGGCGUCUCAC